rnacentral:rRNA from 1 species
CGGGGUGAGUAAUGUAUGGGGAUCUGCCUGAUGGCGGGGGAUAACUACUGGAAACGGUAGCUAAUACCGCAUAAUGUCUGCGGACCAAAGCGGGGGACCUCCGGGCCUCGCGCCAUCAGAUGAACCCAUAUGGGAUUAGCUUGUAGGUAAGGUAACGGCUUACCUAGGCGACGAUCCCUAGCUGGUUUGAGAGGAUGAUCAGCCACACUGGGACUGAGACACGGCCCAG